rnacentral:misc_RNA from 1 species
UUUCCGUAGGUGAACCCGCGGAAGGAUCAUUAUUGUAUAACCGAGGUGCGAGGGCUGUCGCUGACCCGAAAGGUCGUGCACGCCCGAGUGCCCUCACACACAUCCAUCUCACCCCUAUGUGCACCACCGCGUGGGUCCCCCUUUGGCUUGUUCGGAGGGGGGCUUACGUUUUCACACAAACUUUGUAUGCAGUGUAGAAUGUAUUUUUUGUUUUUGCGAUCACGCAAUCAAUACAACUUUCAACAACGGAUCUCUUGGCUCUC